GGUCGUCAUCGGUGAGCGUAGAGAGCGGCCGGAGAUGUUCGAGCGAGUCAGCACGCGCGAGCGCGUCCGGUGCUGCGCGGAGAGGGGCUGCGGGUGUAGGAGCGGGCGCUGAUGGGGCCGCUCCUGUCGCACCGUCACCGCGAGCGAACACCAACUCUACUGCACCAUCACUCGGAAACGACGGAUCUACGCAACAAACCAAAUUCUUUUAUAGCUUCAUAACAGUCUAUUCUACUGGUCUAUUCUAAAAAAAAAGGAUCCAGUAUGAAAGCUCUAAUAGAGAAGAACAUAAAUGCUAGAACUAUGUAAGUAACUAAGAACAUAAAAACUAAGACCAGUGUCUUAAGACCAUUGUCUUAAUUUUCACACCUCAGUGGUUUUAUUUAAAAAAUAUAUAUUUGAUAUCAAACUUUGAUGUCAAAAAUGUUUAAUUUUAUAAAAUAUUGAUUUGCCAGCGAUAAGCAGAGGUUUGUUGUUCUCAUCUCACUACCGUUGUCCAUUAAUUACGAUAAUCAGUAUCAGGUCAGUCGCAAAUUUAUCUACCUAGUGGGAAAAAAUAAACAGUCAAAAAUUACCGUGCGCAGCGUGAUCAAGGUGUUGCUUAGUGAAGGAGAGCGUAUGAUCGGCGACGGCGCACGUAUGGAACUGACACGCGAACACAAGAUGGCGGUGCGUCUGUCCGUGCGUGUGUGCGGGGCGUCGGUACGCGCGCACACACACAUCGCCGCGAAGGGACAGCCGCCCCACCCCCACCGUCCAACCGCCGCCGUUCACCAUGUACAAGCCUGAAGCAAAGGAAUUAAGUCACAUUAGAAUUUAUGCUAAGAUAAAAAGAAGUCGCGGACACCUCGGGUCGGGGGCUCGUGUGUAAGCCUAGCUAAAUCUUGAGAGAAGAUAGAGAAAGUCCACACAGGAGCGGCUGCUGAUUAAAAUAAAUUGUACGAACCCGAAGUAUAGACGCAUACAAAGUUCUCGUAGAUCUUGAGGAAGGCGAUGGUUGGUGCGGACGGCGUGGCGAGUGAGCCCGCCACGCUCACGUGCGUGAGUUGCAGCGGCGCCGCGUUCACUCGGAUCUGUCCCGCCAACAGGCCCGCGAACGUGUCUAUGUACCUGUCCAAAUAGAUAACACUAGUAAAAUCCUGUGACACUAUGUUUAUCGCUAAUAUAUGUAAAGAAAAACUUUCAUAGUCUAAAACUCUUUAGUUUUCUAAAAAGGAUUUUUCUUAUAUGUAAUUCAGUUAAGUUUGACAUUCAGUAAAAAGAAAGUUCAGUUUGUUUAAAAAUAUUAAUUUUAUUAUAUUAAGGGCUUUAAAUGUUGUUUUCUCAUUAUACAUAUAACAGAAAACGCAA